AGUUUGAGUCUCACUCUGUUGCCCAGGCUGGUCUUGAACUCCUGGCCUCAAGUGGUCCACCACCUCGGCCUCCCAAAGUGCUGGGAUUACAGAAGACUUAGAUCAUUAUAAGAUGAAAGAAGAGCCUAUGAGUGGGAAACAAGUGGAGGAUGAACGAACUGAAAAAGACAAUUGGGCAAUAUUAAAGAAAAUUAGGAAGACUGAAAGCCUGCAGUGUCUGGGUCAGUGCAAGCUUCAGAUAGACUUAAGAAAGAGCUCAGGGACAUAUACAGAUCACAGAAUUAUAAGACAGGUAAGGAUGUCUACAUCCCUCUUCUUCUUAUUGUUCUUUUGUUCUUUUCUGUUGUCAGAUUAUAAAUGUCAUUUCUUAAAACUGGACAGAAAUGGAAAUGUUUACUAGCUUUAUUUUGUGAAACUCGAAUGCAAUCAAGUUCCAAAAGAUGUAGGGGGUAAGAUAAGAUGAGUAUGCUAUUAGUUUUAUAGGCCUGUUGGAAUUCUUUUUGUCAUCUUCCUGAUAGAGUAAACAUUUACGUGAUUUAGCUCUGUCGCCCAGACUGCAGUGCAGUGGCACCAUGUUGGCUCUCUGCAAGCUCUGCCUCCCGGGUUCAUACCAUUCUCCUGUCUAAGCCUCCCGAGAUGCUGGGACUACAGGCGCCCGCCACCACGCCCAGCUAAAUUUUGUAUUUUUUUAGUAGAGAUGGCGUUUCACCACGUUAGCCAGGAUGGUCUCGAUCUCCUGACCUUGUGAUCUGCUGGCCCGUGCUGGGAUACCUUUUUCAUUCUUGAAAGUAGGAGCUACAAAAACAAACAAACAAACAAACAAACAAAAAAACUAAAAUGUCUUUAAGAUAACCUUCUACUCAUGAUCUAACUUACAUAAUCAAAACACUCUCUUGAGAGUGAAAAUUGAGUAUUAUAAGAAAAUAAUCACCUGUUUUGUGAGAGGUUCCAUACAUAAUGCUCCUUCAUCCAAUACAUACCUUAAAAAGAAAAAAGGAAACAUAGAAUAUAAUCUUGAGAAUUAUUCCUGCUUAAACAAUUUCUAUGUGCCAUUAUUAAGAAAGUAUGCACACAGUAAAGAUAAGAAGAGAACAUGCAAGUAUGAACAUGUUGUUAGGGAUAUAGGACUAUCAGUAAUUUAAAAAUUCUAAUGGUAUUACUCUCAUGUAAUUGCUCUGAAAUUCCAGUCAAUUGUUUGAAAUGGCUCUUAGAACAGAAUACUUUGAAAUUUUGAUGAUGUCAAAAACUAAGAACUUUGCCCUAAAUAUUACAAAGAAUAGGGGCAGAAGAACCCGUUUCCUUAAAUGGCAUUUCAGUAUUCUUUACAAUCAAACUUUCUCUCCCAUCCUGUGAUGGCCAAGAGUUCUUCCUCUGACAAUGGCACUGACUUUACCCUAUCCAAAAUAUGAAUAUCUGCAUGGUUUCAUGGUUCACAUUUUUUUUAUCCAUUCUGUUGUGAGAAUCAAAAGGUUCACAGCAUGUGGCUCCUCUGUGGGACUCCUCAAGUCCUUUCUAGGUUGANNNNNNNNNNNNNNNNNNNNNNNNNNNNNNNNNNNNNNNNNNNNNNNNNNUCAUGAUCUAACUUACAUAAUCAAAACACUCUCUUGAGAGUGAAAAUUGAGUAUUAUAAGAAAAUAAUCACCUGUUUUGUGAGAGGUUCCAUACAUAAUGCUCCUCCAUCCAAUACAUACCUUAAAAAGAAAAAAGGAAACAUAGAAAAUAAUCUUGAGAAUUAUUCCUGCUUAAACAAUUUCUAUGUGCCAUUAUUAAGAAAGUAUGCACACAGUAAAGAUAAGAAGAGAACAUGCAAGUAUGAACAUCUUUGUUAGGGAUAUAGGACUAUCAGUAAUUUAAAAAUUCUAAUGGUAUUACUCUCAUGUAAUUGCUCUGAAAUUCCAGUCAAUUGUUUGAAAUGGCUCUUAGAACAGAAUACUUUGAAAUUUUGAUGAUGUCAAAAACUAAAAACUUCGCCCUAAAUAUUACAAAGAACAGGGGCAGAAGAACCCGUUUCCUUAAAUGGCAUUUCAGUAUUCUUUACAAUCAAACUUUCUCUCCCAUCCUGUGAUGGCCAAGAGUUCUUCCUCUGACAAUAGCACUGACUUUACCCUAUCCAAAAUAUGAACAUCUGCAUGGUUUGAUGGUUCACUUUUUUUUUUUAUCCAUUCUGUUGUGAGAAUCAAAUGGUUCACAGCAUGUGGCUCCUCUGUGGGACUCCUCAAGUCCUUUCUAGGUCUGAAGACUGUUCUCUGAAUCAAAGACAACUUCUGGGGAUGUACCAAAUCUCCCAUUAGAAAAUUAUUUAGAUCAAGAUAUUUUAACCUUUUAACUCUUUCUCAAACAAAUUAAUUUCAUUUCUUCUUUAAUGUUAUUUUAAAUUUCAAAAUACACAGAUAGCAUGCCUCAAAUAAAAUCAAGGGAAUGAUAGUUUUAGAACAAAAACUGUGGUAAUUUUGAAAACACAAAAGCUAAGACCACUGAUUAGAUCUAUGUGAACACCAAGUCCUCCACAAACUGUUCUGUCCUCCGGGGCUCUGCCCACAUAUUUCCCUUGCCUGAGACCUCUAACAUCUGCUCAUGAAGAAAUCACUUCAGCAUGUGCAGCAGAAAACAUAUGGGAAUCACUCAGAACUCCGGAUUUCCAACAGAGCAGUAUUUUCCAGAGAACAAGCCAGAGCGCACCGUCCUCUGUGAUGCUGUCAGGAGCACUAGUAAAUGAAUUUCAGAAAAAUAGAAAAUGGCAAUAAGGCUCCAGGAAGUCCUUUGGUACAAGACAUUUUGAACCUGGUUUCCCCCAAACCUUGCAAUCCCCACAAAACAAAUAUCUAUUAACAUUU
rnacentral:lncRNA from 10 species